rnacentral:rRNA from 1 species
CGCAUCUGUGCAUGCAGCAUAUCAAUAAGCGGAGGAAAAGAAACUAACAAGGAUUCCCCUAGUAACGGCGAGUGAAGCGGGAAGAGCUCAAAUUUGAAAUCUUAAAGGGUUUCCCUUUACGAAUUGUAGUUUAAAGAAGUGUUUUCUGUUGAGGUUUUGGUAAAAGUUCUUUGGAAUAGGACAUCAUAGAGGGUGAGAAUCCCGUAUUUGACCUUUACUUUCAACUUUGUGAUACACUUUCAAAGAGUCGGAUUGUUUGGGAAUGCAGUCCAAAAUGGGUGGUAAAUUUCAUCUAAAGCUAAAUAUUGGCGAGAGGACCGAUAGCGAACAAGUACCGUGAGGGAAAGAUGAAAAGAACUUUGAAAAGAGAGUUAAACAGUACGUGAAAUUGUCAAAAGGGAAGCGUUUGACACCAGUGUUGUUUUUCUGAAAAUCAAUUAAAGAACUGUUUAUGCUAAGUUGUUUAGACUUUAUCAGCUAUCUGUUUAGUUUUGAGCUUUUCUUUAAUGCACUUUUCAGUUAACAAGUCAACAUCAAUUUCUUUUGCUGUAAAAAAGCUUGAGGAAGGUGGCUUGAGAUUCGUCUUAAGUGUUUAUAGCCUCUUGCCUAUGCAGUCGGAGAGAUUGAGGUCUGCAGCGUAGAUCCUUCGGGGCUAAAUGCAUUUGUGCUAAGUUAUAGCAUUUUAUAGACAACUUGUUGACUAUGAUUUGUCUUGUAGCUUACUCGCUUAUGUUAUUUUACCUACGCUUAGGAUGUUGAGUCGUAGAGCACGCAG